ensembl:lncRNA
GGCUGGUGCUGCAGUGAUGGCUGCCUGCUGAAUUUCAGCCCCUGCUCCAGGAGGGGGGUAAAAUACCCUUUGGCACAAUGAAGAUGGCCACGGUCAAACAGAUGCUACUCAUUCUGCUUUGUUGCUCCAUGGAGAAAAAUGGAGGGGAAAGGCUUUUGCUGAAGCACUGGCUCUCCCAGGUGUGUGUGGGGAGAUAACAGCCUGCCGAGGGGGGUAAGCACUGCUGUCAGCAAAAUGCAUGGUGUGGAGAUGGAGGAAGAGUUGCACCUCCUGGCUCUGGGCAGUGCAAAUCACCCAGAGCUGCAGCACAGCAGUAUCCUCCACCAGGAUGGCUUCACCCGGACACACCUGCUUACCUGCUGUCACAUCCUAUUCAGCCCAUCAGGCUCUGCCUGGUGCUUUCAGGGUGCCUUCCCAUGUGCAGUGCUGCAAUAACCAGCCAGGAGCAGUGGCAUUGGUUUGGCCUUUCGUGCUUCAGUAUGAUGGAUGAAGAUGCUGAUAAAUAGCUGCCUCUAUGGGAGAGUGCUCUGAGUCCCCAGCUCUCAUACCUGGCUGUAGGAAUUGUCUUCCUGCUCACCUGUUAAAGGCUUCUGGAUCAUUGGAUGCUGUGCCCAGGGCAAAAGCCGUGCCCUGUGCACAAUAGGGGCUGGGGAUUUCCUGCUCCGCUGCUAUGAAAAACACUCCUCCUGCGGGACCAACAGCUGCAGUGAGGGGGCAAUGAAUGCAUAUCCCACAGGAGAGGGAAACAGUGGAAUAUCCUCAUCCAAGACAUGUCUGGGAAAGGAAAGGAGCUGCCUUUGUGCCCCGAACACCCCGCAGCCACCGUUGUGUCUCCAUUCAUCGACAAAGAGAAGCCUUAUCUUCUGAUGGACACAUC